AUUGAACGCUGGCGGCAGGCUUAACACAUGCAAGUCGAGCGAGCGGCGGACGGGUGCGUAAUGUCUGGGAAACUGCCUGAUGGAGGGGGAUAACUAAUGGAAACGGUAGCUAAUACCGCAUACCAUCAGAUGUGCCCAGAUGGGAUUAGCUAGUAGGUGGGGUAAUGGCUCACCUAGGCGACGAGCCCUAGCUGGGCUGAGAGGAUGACCAGCCACCCGGUAACUUAGACACGGCCCAUACUCCUACGGGAGGCAGCAGUGGGGAAUAGUGCACAAUGGGCGCAAGCCUGAUGCAGCCAUGCCGCGUGUGUGAAGAAGUCCUUCGUGUUGUAAAGCACUUUCAGCGAGGAGGCGUUACUCGCAGAAGAAGCACCGGCUAACUCCGUGCCAGCAGCCGCGGUAAUAC
rnacentral:rRNA from 1 species